rnacentral:rRNA from 1 species
AUUCUUUAUGCGUAAAAUGGAUUCGUCCGCCCAAGGAUGGGUCUGCGGCCUAUCAGGUAGUAGUGGGUGUAAUGUACCUACUAGCCGACGACGGGUACGGGUUGUGAGAGCAAGAGCCCGGAGAUGGAUUCUGAGACAUGAAUCCAGGCCCUACGGGGCGCAGCAGGCGCGAAAACUUUACAAUGCGGGAAACCGUGAUAAGGGGACACCGAGUGCCAGCAUCAUAUGCUGGCUGUCCGGGUGUGUAAAAUACACCUGUUAGCAAGGGCCGGGCAAGACCGGUGCCAGCCGCCGCGGUAACACCGGCGGCCCGAGUGGUGAUCGUGUUUAUUGGGUCUAAAGGGUCCGUAGCCGGUUUGGUCAGUCCUCCGGGAAAUCUGACGGCUUAACCGUUAGGCUUUCGGGGGAUACUGCCAGACUUGGAACCGGGAGAGGUAAGAGGUACUACAGGGGUAGGAGUGAAAUCUUGUAAUCCCUGUGGGACCACCUGUGGCGAAGGCGUCUUACCAGAACGGGUUCGACGGUGAGGGACGAAAGCUGGGGGCACGAACCGGAUUAGAUACCCGGGUAGUCCCAGCCGUAAACGAUGCUCGCUAGGUGUCAGGCAUGGCGCGACCGUGUCUGGUGCCGCAGGGAAGCCGUGA